rnacentral:rRNA from 1 species
UACAGGGGGUGCAAACGUUGCUCGGAAUCAUUGGGCGUAAAGCGCACGUAGGUGGUCGUUUAAGUCGGAUGUGAAAGCCCUCGGCUCAACUGAGGAAGUGCAUCCGAAACUGAUCGGCUGGAGUACGAAAGAGGGUCGCGGAAUUCCCGGUGUAGAGGUGAAAUUCGUAGAUAUCGGGAGGAACACCAGUGGCGAAGGCGGCGACCUGGUUCGAUACUGACGCUGAGGUGCGAAAGCGUGGGGAGCAAACAGG